rnacentral:rRNA from 3 species
UUCCUUUAUGAAAAUUCUAAAGGUAGAGCCUGCUCAGUGAUAUUACAUAAACAGCCGCGGUAUUUUAACUGCGCGAAGGUAGCAUAAUUAAUUGUCUUUUAAUUGGUGACUUGUUUGAAUGGCUUAAUGAGGGUUAAUCUUUUUUUACUUUCUAUCGAAUUUAUUAUCUUGGGUUAAAAAACCUAGAUUUAUAAAAAAGAAGAGAAGACCCUGAUGAGUUUUACAAUAAAUUAUAUUUGUUUGAAUGGGGCCUUACAAUUUCUAUUAUAUAUGUAUUAGAUCCUACCUUGAGGAAAAAGGAAUAAAUUACCACAGGGAUAACAGGACAAAAUUUGCUGGGAGUGCAUAUCUAAGCAAGGAACUGUUACCUCGAUGUUGAAUCAAAGUAAACUUUUGGGCGCAGAAGUUUUUGGAGUGGGUCUGUUCGACCUUUAAAACUUU